rnacentral:rRNA from 1 species
GCUGUCAGCCUGCUCCCUGCAACUCUCACAUUGUCGUCCACUGAAGCUAAGCAGGGCUGCGCCUGGUCAGUACCUGAAUGGGAUGAAGACCUCAUGGGAAAGCUGGAUUGCUGCCGGAA